GACGAACGCUGGCGGCGUGCUUAACACAUGCAAGUCGAACGUGUGGCGAACGGGUGAGUAACACGUGGGUGAUCUGCCUUGCACUUCGGGCACAGCCUUGGGAACUGGGUCUAAUACCGGAUUGUGCAAGAUGAGCGCGCGGCCUAGCAGCUUGUUGGUCGGGUACUGGCUACCAAGGCGCGAGGGGUAGCCGGCCUGAGAGGGUGUACGGCCACAUUAGGGCUGAGAGACGGCCCAGAAGCCUACGGGAGGCAGCGGUGGGGAAUGUUGCACAAUGGGCGGAAGCCUGAUGUAGCGACGCCGCGUGGGGGAUGAAGGCCUUCGGGUUGUAAACUCCUUUCGACAGGGACGCGGUACCUGUAUAAGAAGCACCGGCUAACUACGUGCCAGCAGCCGCGGUAAUUC
rnacentral:rRNA from 1 species